ACGAACGCUGGCGGCAGGCCUAACACAUGCAAGUCGAGCGGAUGAGAGGAGCUUGCUCCUCGAUUCAGCGGCGGACGGGUGAGUAAUGCCUAGGAAUCUGCCUAGUAGUGGGGGACAACGUUUCGAAAGGAACGCUAAUACCGCAUACGUCCUACGGGAGAAAGUGGGGGAUCUUCGGACCUCACGCUAUUAGAUGAGCCUAGGUCGGAUUAGCUAGUUGGUAGGGUAAAGGCCUACCAAGGCGACGAUCCGUAACUGGUCUGAGAGGAUGAUCAGUCACACUGGAACUGAGACACGGUCC
rnacentral:rRNA from 1 species